UUCCCGCCUACCUUACCCAACCAAACUCCGAAUACCAUUGACCGUACCACGGGAGUCAGACCCUGGGGGACAAUCUUCAGGGUCGAAAGGGAAACAGCCCACAUCGCCAGUUAAGGUCCCAAAGCUAACCUAAGUCAUAAAGGAAGUGGAGAUGCUAUAACAGCUAGUAUGUUGGCUUAGAAGCAGCCAUCAUUUAAAAAGUGCGUAAUAGCUUACUAGUCGAGCAUCUCUGCGUCGAAAAUUAGCGGGAGUUAAGGUUAGCACCGAGACUGCGGGGCAAGUCGUUUAGUUCGAUUUGUCGGUAGGGGAGCGUUCCACUGUAGGUUGAAGGAGUACCGUAAGGAGCUCUGGACGACGUGGAAGUGAUUAUGCCGGAAUGAGUAGCGAUAAAAUGAGUGAGAAUCUCAUUCGCCGAAAGCCUAAGGUUUCCUGGGGAAGGCAAUUCCGCCCAGGGUUAGUCGGUACCUAAGGCGAGGCCGAAAGGCGUAGUCGAUGGAUAGCACGUUAAUAUUCGUGCACCACUUCUGGUGAGUUUGAUGGACAGGGGUGACGGAGGCUGGAAGGUCAUCGGGGCGUUGAUUGUCCCCGUCGCUGGCCCGAGGUGCGCGGUAGGUAAAUCCGCCGCGAUAAUCCGGAGGUCGGCGCAGGACCAUUUGAGUCUGAAGUGAUCGGAAGGUCUUCCAAGAAAAACCUCGGUUCUAUUGCCAGGAGUGACCGUACUAAAACUGACACAGGUAGGCGAGGUGAGUAUCCUAAGGCGCUCGAGAGAACCUUCGUUAAGGAACUAGGCAAAAUGACUCCGUAACUUCGGGAGAAGGAGUGCCACGGUAGAGUGAUCCAGUUUCCUGGAGAGCUCGAAGUGGUCGCAGCGAAAAGGGUCUAGCGACUGUUUACUAAAAACACAGGACUGUGCUAAGACGCAAGUCGAUGUAUACAGUCUGACGCCUGCUCGGUGCCGGAAGGUUAAGGGGACGGGUUAUCCCUUCGGGGAGAAGCUCAGAACUGAAGCCCCGGUUAACGGCGGCCGUAACUAUGACGGUCCUAAGGUAGCGAAGUUCCUUGUCGGGUAAGUUCCGACCCGCACGAAUGGCGUAACGACUGGACCGGUGUCUCAACGAAGGACUCGGCGAAAUUGUAGUUGUGGUGCAGAUGCCACAUACCCGCGGCUAGACGGAAAGACCCCGUGAACCUUUACUAUAGCCUAUUAUUGGGUUUGGGUAAUGCAUGUGUAGGAUAGGUGGGAGGCGUUGAAGCGAGAUCGCCAGAUCUUGUGGAGCCAUCCUUGAAAUACCACCCUUGUAUUAUUUAAAUUCUAACCAGGUUCCGUGAAUCCGGGCUUGGAACAGUGGUAGGUGGGUAGUUUGGCUGGGGCGGUCUCCUCCCAAAGAGUAACGGAGGAGCCCAAAGGCUUCCUCAAUGCGGUUGGCAAUCGCAUGUAGAGCGCAAGGGUAAAAGGAAGCUUAACUGCGAGACCCAUAAGUCGAGCAGAUGUGAAAGCAGGGCCUAAUGAUCCGGCGUAUUCCGGGUGGAAGGGACGUCGCUCAACAGAUAAAAGGUACUCCGGGGAUAACAGGCUGAUC
rnacentral:rRNA from 1 species